GGGUAGAGUAAUGCGUGACCAACCUGCCCCAUGCUCCAGAAUAGCUCUUGGAAACGGGUGGUAAUGCUGGAUGCUCCAACUUGACGCAUGUCUUGUUGGGAAAGUGUUUAGUGGCAUGGGAUGGGGUCGCGUCCUAUCAGCUUGUAGGUGGGGUAAUGGCCCACCUAGGCUUCGACGGGUAGCCGGCCUGAGAGGGCGGACGGCCACAUUGGGACUGAGAUACGGCCCAGACUCCUACGGGAGGCAGCAGCC
rnacentral:rRNA from 1 species